rnacentral:rRNA from 1 species
GACGAACGCUGGCGGCGUGCUUAACACAUGCAAGUCGAACGCUGAAGCUCAGCUUUUGUUGGGUGGAUGAGUGGCGAACGGGUGAGUAACACGUGAGUAACCUGCCCCCUUCUUUGGGAUAACGCCCGGAAACGGGUGCUAAUACUGGAUAUUCACUGGUCUUCGCAUGGGGGUUGGUGGAAAGGGUUUUUCUGGUGGGGGAUGGGCUCGCGGCCUAUCAGCUUGUUGGUGGGGUGAUGGCCUACCAAGGCUUUGACGGGUAGCCGGCCUGAGAGGGUGACCGGUCACAUUGGGACUGAGAUACGGCCCAGACUCCUACGGGAGGCAGCAGUGGGGAAUAUUGCACAAUGGGCGCAAGCCUGAUGCAGCGACGCCGCGUGAGGGAUGGAGGCCCUCGGGUUGUGAACCUCUUUCGCUCAUGGUCAGGCCGCAACAAUGGUUGUGGUGAGGGUAGUGGGUAAAGAAGCGCCGGCUAACUACGUG